rnacentral:rRNA from 1 species
GGGUUCGUCACCUCAUUAAUAAAAAAUGUCAUUAGAGUCGCCAUUGGACAGAUCGACUGAUCUCCUUUCUUAUUUCGUCCCUUCGAAGGUUAGAGUUUGGCGCACCUGUGCCAUAGUCGUUGCUUGGGUUGGGUUAUAGCCCUACGGAACGACUGCUUAGUUGAUUGGGUGGUUUUGGUUAGGCGCAGUUGUCGAGUUGUGAGUAGAGGAGACGCGGCAUAGAUUAGGAGGUGGUAGGCUGCGCGUUCUUCUCCCUCCCCUUGUAGGUCUAGCUAGGCACCCUGAGUGUCAGGUCGGGUUAGGUUCGUCGGCCGGCCGGCCUAGGCUGGAGGCGGGCGGCGGUACUCGAAGGAGAAG